GCGGAUUAAUACCGUAUGACAUUCUAAGGUUUCAUGACAUUAGAAUUAAAGGUUUACCGGUAAUCGAUGGGGAUGCGUUCCAUUAGAUAGUAGGCGGGGUAACGGCCCACCUAGUCAACGAUGGAUAGGGGUUCUGAGAGGAAGGUCCCCCACAUUGGAACUGAGACACGGUCCAAACUCCUACGGGAGGCAGCAGUGAGGAAUAUUGGUCAAUGGACGAGAGUCUGAACCAGCCAAGUAGCGUGAAGGAUGACUGCCCUAUGGGUUGUAAACUUCUUUUAUAAAGGAAUAAAGUAGUCCACGUGUGGAUUUUUGUAUGUACUUUAUGAAUAAGGAUCGGCUAACUCCGUGCCAGCAGCCGCGGUAAUACGGAGGAUCCAAGCGUUAUCCGGAUUUAUUGGGUUUAAAGGGAGCGUAGAUGGAUUUUUAAGUCAGUUGUGAAAGUUCGGGGCUCAACCCCGUAAUUGCAGUUGAUACUGGAUAUCUUGAGUACAGUUGAGGUAGGCGGAAUUCGUGGUGUAGCGGUGAAAUGCUUAGAUAUCACGAAGAACUCCGAUUG
rnacentral:rRNA from 1 species